GGGGAAUAUUGCGCAAUGGGCGAAAGCCUGACGCAGCGACGCCGCGUGAGGGAUGAAGGUUUUCGGUCCGAAACCUCCUGCCGGAGGGGAGGAAACGGCACGUUGUUAUCCGCCGUUCCCUUAACGUAACCUCAAAGGGAGCCACGGCCUACCCCCGUGCCAGCAGCCGCGGUAAUACGGAGGGUGCAAGCGUUAAUCGGAAUUACUGGGCGUAAAGCGCACGUAGGCUGCUUUGUAAGUCAGGGGUGAAAUCCCACGGCUCAACCGUGGAACUGCCUUUGAUACUGCUUAGCUUGAAUCCGGGAGAGGGUGGCGGAAUUCCAGGUGUAGGAGUGAAAUCCGUAGAUAUCUGGAGGAACAUCAGUGGCGAAGGCGGCCACCUGGACCGGUAUUGACGCUGAGGUGCGAAAGCGUGGGGAGCAAACA
rnacentral:rRNA from 1 species